AAAAGCCGUGUGAGGUGAGAAUCUCAAGCACGGUUUUGUGGAGGGCUUGGGCUGAAAUACCCUUGCCUAUCCGAC
rfam:Sphingobacteriales bacterium 40-81 SCNpilot_expt_1000_bf_scaffold_325, whole genome shotgun sequence.